CUGCACCCAGCACGGGUUUCCUGGCCACGUCUCAUGGUCUGAGCCUGAGUCACCACCUGUUCUGACUCAUAGCUCGUGGAAUGGUGGCACUGUGUGGGGCUGUGUCUGUAAGGGGACGGCACUUUGAAAGCGCUGAUAACGCUUUCCUGAAAGAUCUCCCUAUGAUUCAGUGAUACUUUGUGCCCCUUUGUUUCAAAUUAUCGCGUGUGGUGCAACUAUCGCAGCAGCUGCCCAGGAGUCAUGCAGACAGAGGUGCUGAUUAAGCAGAGAAAUGCUGAAAAUAAUUCUACAUAAAGCAUUUCAAGAUGUGCAUGAGGACUCUCUUCCCCUCAGUACUGAUUUUGCUAUUAGGUGAGGCUUGUGAUGAAGGAAGCCAGUGAGAAGCACACUCUUGCAAGUAUUAGCAUUCUGUGCUUUUACUGCUUUCUGCUCAGCAGAUGAGCAGACUUUGUAUCCCCUGUGCUCUUGCAUGCAAAAAGAUGCUGUGUUAAACAAGUAUGGAAAAGUCUGAG
ensembl:lncRNA